AGUCGAGCGAUGAAGUUUCUUCGGAAAUGGAUUAGCGGCGAACGGGUGAGGAACACGUGAAGAAUCUGCCCUCCACUUUGGGAUAACACCGGGAAACCGGUGCUAAUACCGAAUAUUGAAACAUAAGUGGCAUCACUGAGUUUUGAAAGAAUUUCGGUGGAGGAUGACUUCGCGGCCUAUCAGCUAGUUGGUGAGGUAAUGGCUCACCAAGGCAACGACGGGUAGCCGGCCUGAGAGGGCGACCGGCCACACUGGGACUGAGACACGGCCCAGACUCCUACGGGAGGCAGCAGUGGGGAAUAUUGGGCAAUGGAGGAAACUCUGACCCAGCGACGCCGCGUGCGGGAUGAAGGCCUUCGGGUUGUAAACCGCUUUCAGUAGGGAAGAAGCGAAAGUGACGGUACCUACAAAAGAAGCACCGGCUAACUAUGUGCCAGCAGCCGCGGUAAUACAUAGGGUGCAAGCGUUGUCCGGAAUUAUUGGGCGUAAAGAGCUCGUAGGUCGUUUGUUACGUCGGAUGUGAAAACCUGAGGCUCAACCUCAGGCCUGCAUUCGAUACGGGCAAACUAGAGUUUGGUAGGGGAGACUGGAAUUCCUGGUGUAGCGGUGGAAUGCGCAGAUAUCAGGAGGAACACCAAUGGCGAAGGCAGGUCUCUGGGCCAAUACUGACACUGAGGAGCGAAAGUCUGGGGAGCGAACAGGAUUAGAUACCCUGGUAGUCCAGACCGUAAACGGUGGGCACUAGUUGUGGGAACCUUCCCCGGUUUCUGCGACGCAGCUAACGCAUUAAGUGCCCCGCCUGGGGAGUACAAUCGCAAGAUUAAAACUCAAAGGAAUUGACGGGGCCCCGCAC
rnacentral:rRNA from 1 species